rnacentral:rRNA from 1 species
GACGAACGCUGGCGGCGUGCUUAACACAUGCAAGUCGAACGGAAAGGCCCUGCUUUUGUGGGGUGCUCGAGUGGCGAACGGGUGAGUAACACGUGAGUAACCUGCCCUUUACUUUGGGAUAACUUCAGGAAACUGGGGCUAAUACCGGAUAGGAGCUCCUGCUGCAUGGUGGGGGUUGGAAAGUUUCGGCGGUUGGGGAUGUACUCGCGGCUUAUCAGCUUGUUGGUGGGGUAGUGGCUUACCAAGGCUUUGACGGGUAGCCGGCCUGAGAGGGUGACCGGCCACAUUGGGACUGAGAUACGGCCCAGACUCCUACGGGAGGCAGCAGUGGGGAAUAUUGCACAAUGGGCGGAAGCCUGAUGCAGAAACGCCGCGUGCGGGAUGAAGGCCUUCGGGUUGUAAACCGCUGUCGCCUGUGACGAAGCGGGAGUGACGGUAAUGGGUAAAGAAGCACCGGCUAACUACGUG